GGGAUAACUGGCCUGUGGCAGCCGAGCAUUCAUAGC
rnacentral:rRNA from 1 species